AUGUGAAUCACCUGGAGAUUGUGUUAAGAUGCAGAUUCAAAUUGAAGAGUGCUGAGUUGGGGUCUGAGAGUCUAAAUUCCUGACAAGUUCUCCAGUGAUACCUAU
rnacentral:pre_miRNA from 1 species